rnacentral:rRNA from 1 species
GAUGAACGCUGGCGGCGUGCCUAAUACAUGCAAGCCGAGCGAACGGACGAGAAGCUUGCUUCUCUGAUGUUAGCGGCGGACGGGUGAGUAACACGUGGAUAACCUACCUAUAAGACUGGGAUAACUUCGGGAAACCGGAGCUAAUACCGGAUAAUAUUUUGAACCGCAUGGUUCAAAAGUGAAAGACGGUCUUGCUGUCACUUAUAGAUGGAUCCGCGCUGCAUUAGCUAGUUGGUAAGGUAACGGCUUACCAAGGCAACGAUGCAUAGCCGACCUGAGAGGGUGAUCGGCCACACUGGAACUGAGACACGGUCCAGACUCCUACGGGAGGCAGCAGUAGGGAAUCUUCCGCAAUGGGCGAAAGCCUGACGGAGCAACGCCGCGUGAGUGAUGAAGGUCUUCGGAUCGUAAAACUCUGUUAUUAGGGAAGAACAUAUGUGUAAGUAACUGUGCACAUCUUGACGGUACCUAAUCAGAAAGCCACGGCUAACUACGUGCCAGCAGCCGCGGUAAUACGUAGGUGGCAAGCGUUAUCCGGAAUUAUUGGGCGUAAAGCGCGCGUAGGCGGUUUUUUAAGUCUGAUGUGAAAGCCCACGGCUCAACCGUGGAGGGUCAUUGGAAACUGGAAAACUUGAGUGCAGAAGAGGAAAGUGGAAUUCCAUGUGUAGCGGUGAAAUGCGCAGAGAUAUGGAGGAACAUCAGUGGCGAAGGCGACUUUCUGGUCUGUAACUGACGCUGAUGUGCGAAAGCGUGGGGAUCAAACAGGAUUAGAUACCCUGGUAGUCCACGCCGUAAACGAUGAGUGCUAAGUGUUAGGGGGUUUCCGCCCCUUAGUGCUGCAGCUAACGCAUUAAGCACUCCGCCUGGGGAGUACGACCGCAAGGUUGAAACUCAAAGGAAUUGACGGGGACCCGCACAAGCGGUGGAGCAUGUGGUUUAAUUCGAAGCAACGCGAAGAACCUUACCAAAUCUUGACAUCCUUUGACAACUCUAGAGAUAGAGCUUUCCCCUUCGGGGGACAAAGUGACAGGUGGUGCAUGGUUGUCGUCAGCUCGUGUCGUGAGAUGUUGGGUUAAGUCCCGCAACGAGCGCAACCCUUAAGCUUAGUUGCCAUCAUUAAGUUGGGCACUCUAAGUUGACUGCCGGUGACAAACCGGAGGAAGGUGGGGAUGACGUCAAAUCAUCAUGCCCCUUAUGAUUUGGGCUACACACGUGCUACAAUGGACAAUACAAAGGGCAGCGAAACCGCGAGGUCAAGCAAAUCCCAUAAAGUUGUUCUCAGUUCGGAUUGUAGUCUGCAACUCGACUACAUGAAGCUGGAAUCGCUAGUAAUCGUAGAUCAGCAUGCUACGGUGAAUACGUUCCCGGGUCU